UCAAUUAUUAUUUAAAUAGUGAUUAUUAUUUAAUUAAAUAAAAUUAUUUAAUUAUUAUUAUUAAAAUAGUUAAAGAGUUAAAGAUAAACGUAAUUAAAUAAUUUAUAAAAUAAAUAAAUCUGCUACGUAAACGCCAGAGCCUUCUGAUUUAGGGCUCCGGUGCGCUCCGACUAGAAUUAUGAUUUAUCCCAAAAACUAAGAAGUACCGGAGCCGGCCUCUGGUGCGCUCCGGCGCAAUUUAAGCUCUGGGUAUUUUUGGAUACAUCUGAAUGAAGAACCCGAUGAUUCAGAUAUCGAAAUGUGAUGCUACUAGACUAGCAACAUUUGGAAACCAAAGCCAAGUGAUGAUGUAUCAAAACUAGUUGCCAUUCAGCAUAACAAAAUGCAAGACCUCUGAGGUAGACAUUUCUUCUCAAAACAAGGAAACCCAGAGGAAAUCAAUUGAAGAAGUAGAAAUGACCUCUAUUCAAGUCACCCAACAUCUGGAGAAAGGAAGGAAGCUAUUAAAAGCAUGACUGCUUCUCCAGAUAAAAUCAAAAUCAAAAAGGGAAUGUCCGGAGCACUAAAAUAGAAACAUGCCCAAGAACUGAAAAUUGCCAAAGGUACUAGGGUUGAAAAACCCAACGAGAAAGGUGAAAAGGGCAGUCUCAAAGAAUGGAGCAGAAUACAGCCCCGAAGAGACAGACCUGAAGGUUAUACCUUCAGGAAGGCUCUUACGGUGGUCAAGAUGGCUAUACUCAUUGAGGGACAUCCUGAAAAUUGUUUAUUGGAGGAACAGGCUACUGGCUUUGAACUUCUGAUAACAUUGACUAUGUUAGGUAAAGAGUUACACCUGACUCUAGUCACGGGUAAUUAGACUUUAUAAACAAAGUGGGCAACCCAAACAAAUGGAGCUAGGAAGCAUUGGAUUUGGUGAGUUUGGCAUAAAAUGCUAUUUAGCAGAGGUGCCUGAUACCUAACAGACUCAAUCUCAAGAAAACGAAAGGAAGCAUUAAUUCAUGAAAAAUUUCAGAUUUCAGUGGAUAUAUCCAUUUUGACUAUUUUUUUAUGUGACAUUAGUACAUAUGGACAGAAUAAAGAAUUUUUUAUUCUAGAA